UUUUCUUAUUUCUCUGCAGGAUCAAGGAUGCUGUUGACAGUUGAGGAAUUGAUGCUGUCUUUUCUAAGACACAGAUCAAGGUUGCUUUUGAAUGCACUAUCAGUUGUUAAAGCCACCGUUUCUUUUUCAGAUGAUUACAUUUUUGUCUCUUGCUCUUUGGUUUCAGACAUUACACGAUGAUCUGCUCUCUGGAAACAUCUGCUCCAACAGGAUGUUUCUUUGGAGGAAACCCGCCACCUCACUCCGGCUCAAGCAGCAUCUAAAGAUAAGGUCACUAUGUUGGAGUGAGCAGCGCGUAAGUAAAAAUGCCAUCCAUCAUGAGUAUUUUUACUCUCAGAGGUGUUACAUUUGAAAGCUGUUUACUUUCUGUGUUUUUCUUCAAUAGAUCUUUGAGCUCCUGCGGUUAAUUGAGGAGGCAAC
rnacentral:lncRNA from 1 species